rnacentral:rRNA from 1 species
GCAUCCUACGGGGCGCAGCAGUGGGGGAUAUUGCACAAUGGGGGAAACCCUGAUGCAGCGACGCCGCGUGGGCGAAGAAGCGCCUCGGCGUGUAAAGCUCUGUCAGCAGGGAAGAAAAUGACGGUACCUGAAGAAGAAGCCCCGGCUAACUACGUGCCAGCAGCCGCGGUAAUACGUAGGGGGCAAGCGUUAUCCGGAUUUACUGGGUGUAAAGGGGGCGUAGACGGCUAUGC